UACGAAGGGGGCUAGCGUUGCUCGGAAUCACUGGGCGUAAAGCGCUCGUAGGCGGAUUGUUAAGUCGGGGGUGAAAUCCUGGAGCUCAACUCCAGAACUGCCUUCGAUACUGGCAAUCUUGAGUCCGGGAGAGGUGAGUGGAACUCCGAGUGUAGAGGUGAAAUUCGUAGAUAUUCGGAAGAACACCAGUGGCGAAGGCGGCUCACUGGCCCGAUACUGACGCUGAGGCACGAAAGCGUGGGGAGCAAACAGG
rnacentral:rRNA from 1 species